rnacentral:rRNA from 1 species
UACGUAGGGUGCGAGCGUUGUCCGGAAUUAUUGGGCGUAAAGAGCUCUAGGGCGGUCUGUCGCGUCUGCUGUGAAAACCCGAGGCUCAACCUCGGGCCUGCAGUGGGUACGGGCAGACUAGAGUGCGGUAGGGGAGAUUGGAAUUCCUGGUGUAGCGGUGGAAUGCGCAGAUAUCAGGAGGAACACCGAUGGCGAAGGCAGAUCUCUGGGCCGUAACUGACGCUGAGGAGCGAAAGCAUGGGGAGCGAACAGG